rnacentral:rRNA from 1 species
AUUGAACGCUGGCGGAAUGCUUUACACAUGCAAGUCGAACGGCAGCACGGGGCAACCUGGUGGCGAGUAGCGAACGGGUGAGUAAUACAUCGGAACGUGCCCAAUCGUGGGGGAUAACGUAGCGAAAGUUACGCUAACACCGCAUACGAUCUACGGAUGAAAGCGGGGGAUCUCAAGACCUAGCGCGAAUGGAGCGGCCGAUGUCAGAUUAGGUAGUUGGGGUGGUAAAGGCUCACCACGCCAACGAUCUGUAGCUGGUCUGAGAGGACGACCAGCCACACUGGGACUGAGACACGGCCCAGACUCCUACGGGAGGCAGCAGUGGGGAAUUUUGGACAAUGGGCGCAAGCCUGAUCCAGCCAUUCCGCGUGCAGGAUGAAGGCCUUCGGGUUGUAAACUGCUUUUGUACGGAACGAAACGGCUCUCUCUAAUACAGGGGGCUAAUGACGGUACCGUAAGAAUAAGCACCGGCUAACUACGUGCCAGCCGCCGCGGUAAUAC